rnacentral:rRNA from 1 species
UACGGGGGGGGCAAGCGUUGUUCGGAAUUACUGGGCGUAAAGGGCUCGUAGGCGGCCAACUAAGUCAGACGUGAAAUCCCUCGGCUUAACCGGGGAACUGCGUCUGAUACUGGAUGGCUUGAGUUUGGGGAGAGGGAUGCGGAAUUCCAGGUGUAGCGGUGAAAUGCGCAGAUAUCGGGAGGAACACCGGUGGCGAAGGCGGUUCUCUGGGCCU